rnacentral:rRNA from 1 species
AUGCAUCAACUUGGAACCAAGUUCCACCCUCUAAUAAUCAGCAUAUAUGCCGCAUGUCAGCCUCAUGGGGAUCAAACAGAUGAGGAGAAGGAAGCAGCAAGGAAGAAGGCGUGUUGCUGUGUUAAUAUUGGGUGCAGCAAUUUCACAACUCUGGGAGGAGCAUCUGCUGGAGGGCGUCACCUGCGGCAUCACCUGCAUCGACCUCUCGCUGAUUACCAUCCCAAGGAUGCGCGACUGACUGGCGAAGCAGGGCUUCAGUGA